rnacentral:rRNA from 1 species
UACGUAGGGUGCGAGCGUUAAUCGGAAUUACUGGGCGUAAAGCGUGCGUAGGCGGUUCGCUAAGUCUGAUGUGAAAGCCCCGGGCUCAACCUGGGAACUGCAUUGGAAACUGACGAGCUUGAGUGUGGCAGAGGGGGGUGGAAUUCCACGUGUAGCAGUGAAAUGCGUAGAGAUCGGAAGGAACACCAGUGGCGAAGGCGGCUACCUGGGCACAUACUGACACUGAGGGACGAAAGCGUGGGGAGCAAACAGG